GACGAACGCUGGCGGCGUGCUUAACACAUGCAAGUCGAACGGAAAGGCCCCUUUGGGGGUCCUCGAGUGGCGAACGGGUGAGUAACACGUGAGUAACCUGCCCUUGACUUCGGGAUAACUUCAGGAAACUGGGGCUAAUACCGGAUAGGAAUCCUUGCUGCAUGGUGGGGGUUGGAAAGCUUCGGCGGUUUUGGAUGGACUCGCGGCCUAUCAGCUUGUUGGUGGGGUAGUGGCUUACCAAGGCUUUGACGGGUAGCCGGCCUGAGAGGGCGACCGGCCACAUUGGGACUGAGGUACGGCCCAGGCUCCUACGGGAGGAAGAAGUGGGGAAUAUUGCACAAUGGGCGGAAGCCUGAUGCAGCAACGCCGCGUGCGGGAUGACGGCCUUCGGGUUGUAAACCGCUUUCAGCAGGGGCGAAGCUUGUGGUGACGGUACCUGCAGAAGAAGCACCGGCUAACUACGUG
rnacentral:rRNA from 1 species